ACUCAAGUAGCUUAAAUACCUAAAGCAUUGGUCUUGUAAACCAAAGAAUGAAGACCACUAACCUUCCUAGAGUA
rnacentral:tRNA from 1 species